rnacentral:lncRNA from 1 species
GUAUCUCUAUUAUGCAAUCAUGUAGGGGACUUGUGGGGAAUGCUUUGGGUUGUCGUAUGCAAUCAUCCAAUUCGAUAACGUUAGGAAAAUCUGAAGGUUAAUUUAAGCGGACCUAAUUAACUUGGGGCGUUGAGAAUUCAUGGUUUAGUGAAAAGCAAUUGGAAAUCGUUUUGAAUGCAAGUAUAACAUGUGUGGAGAUGAACCCCUUAGCUAGCCUUCCAUCCAUUCCUUUAAACCAAAUUCGUUUUAAAAUCUGUUCGUUUUACAAAGUUUUGUUUUGUUUUCAAAUUCGUCCAAAAUCAAUCCCCCUUUUCUUUGUUGAGUCAUAUUAGUUAGAAGUCAAGUUAGUUAUGUUUUUAAGUGUUUGGAGUCAAGUUAAAACCUAAUUUCGUCCAAGUUUGUGUCUAGUGUUCAAAACUGCCCAGAUUGUGUUUUUAAGACAGUUUUGAGUGUUUAUUUGCUGUUUUGAGUCUUUUGGUUUGUUUUGGUAUUUUAAAGUUUAGUUUUGCAUUCUUUGAGUCUAGUUUAGUGUUUUAAACUUGUUUUUACGUAUUUGAGUCAGUUUUCAAGUGAUUUUGCAAUCUCUCCUAAUCCCGGGCCUAGAACGAUCCCUACUUACAUACUUACUACAAUUGAUAAAAAGAGGGUUAAUUUGUGUGUCAACAUAAUUUUCACAUCACCUUUGAGCCUUCGUUAGCCUAUUUUCUUUGUUAACCACAUUAUCUCUACCUAGCCUAGAUUAGGACUAUCCAUACCCUUGUUCUUAAAGAAUAGUGAAGCAUGACUUAGAGGGAAUUCCUUUUGAUUUUUGUAGAAAAACAAGUGUGGGGGAAGGAUUUCAAAGUGUAUGUUUUGUGUGCCAAAGAAAAGGGCACAGUUUAAAAAUAAUAAUAAUAAUAAUAAAUUCGUGGAAAAAGAAAAAGAAAAGAAAAAAGUGUGUGAAAAGAAUGAAAAACAAUUGAAAAUAAGUGAGAAUGAACUCACAUGUGAUGGUUGUUGAAGAAAGGGUCCAAAAGUUUGAAUUUGACCCUAAGUGUUGCAUGAAUCUUCCCUUGUGUUUAAAGUUGAUUUUUGUAUUCGAAAGUGAAUUCUAAGUGUCAAUUUCAUUACUUUGCUUGCUAUUUCUUUAAGAACUUUUGUUUAUCCCUUACCUUUCUUUGUUAGCCAAUGCCCUUAGCCCCGUUUCAAUCCUUGACUUCCAUCUUGCGUGUUGUGUGUUUCAAUAUGUGGAGUUUGGAAUUGGUAUGAGCAUAUGAUAUCACUGGUUCUCGCAUCUAAGUAGUAGCAUUCCGUUCAUGAGAUCAUACAUAUACAUGCAUUAAUAAUUCCAGAAAUUGCUUCUUUGUUGAAAAACAUAUGUGAGUACUAGUUUUCAUGUUUACAUCAAUCUUUACAUAUACCUAGUGUAGGGUGAGUAGUUAGAAAAUCUGAGUGAAAAUUCAAUGCAUAUCUAGUAAGGAAUUGAGAGAAUUCUCUAAGGCAUGUUACUACAUCCAAAAUGUUGUUUUAAUUGAUUAAAUAUGAGCUAGUGAAUGGUGACCAUGAUUAAGUAUGCUCGAGGGUAAGGAUUGCUUAAAUCUAUGUGAAGUGGUGAUCUUUGGCAUGUUAUGUUUCAUUGAAAAUCCCUGAGGCAAAUGUUGGAAGGUCUAGGUUAUGUUUUGUUUGUUUUGUUUUGCUCAAGGACUAGCAAAAGCUAAGUGUGGGGGAAUUUGAUAGGAGCAUAUUUAUGCAACUUAUUUCUUAGUUAAAUUAGUAUUUCAAGUCAUUUCCGUGUGUUUGUAGGACCAAAGGGCUAAAUUAUUAAGAAAGUGCAUUUUGGAGCAUUUUGGAGCAGUUUUGGGCAUGGAAUGAAUAUCAUAUGCUUGGAGCAAGGGAGAAGGACGAAAUUAAAGACCUAAAGAUGCUAGGAUUCCUAAUUGAAGAAGGAUUCCUAAUUGAAGAUGGAUUCCUAGAAGGAUGAGGAUUCCUACUCACACCAGGAUUCCUACAAGAAGAAGGAAUGUUAAGCCAUGGUUUCCUACUUUGGUUUUAACCCUUCCUAAUCCUAAAAUUCCCUAACUUCCAGCAACAAGAAUGAUUCCUAAAAAUUUUAGGACACUUAAGUAUCUGAUUCUCCCAUUCAAACAAGGGAGCCGCACCAAUUCUUUCUAGAAAGUCAAAGUCUUUGCCGUGUACCCUCUUUCCCUUUCUCCCUUGCUUUGCCGCACCCCACAUUCCUUUUCCUUUUGGAUUCUGACCUUAAUUACUCCUUUUCCUUGUGGAUUUGGGCUGAAAUUAUGUUUCCCAAAAUUAAUUAGGGUUAGGACUUUCUCAUCCCUAUAAAUAAAACACUUUCUGCCGCAAGACCAUCUAUCCACCCUUCACCAUAAAUCAGCCAUUCCAUCCACCUAUCUACCUAUCCGUCAACUAUCACCCAUCACCACAGAUUCUCUACACAACCCUAACCCUCUCUACAUAACCUGCCACAACCCUUAAACUAUCCAUUCACCACUCACACCCUUGUGCCACAUAUUUGCAAGGAAGGAGGAUUGCUUGGAGUGGUGCUAGCCAUUCAAUUUGGAUUGCUGGAGCAUUAUAGGUGUAUUCUACUUUGGUUUUCAAUGUUUAAUUUCAAUUGUUUCUGUUUAAUUGCAAGUAUGAGGAACUAAACCCUUUUGGCUAGGGGGAAUUUCAAAGCCCUGAAUAUAUUUGCAAUAUGAAUUGAUUACUUCCAGUUGUGAUUCUAUGAAUCGUGAAUGCAAUUUACUUAACUGUUUGAUUGAUAACUUAUUCUUGUUUGUUGAUUAAGGGUGCACACUUAGUUUGCAUGCAAGGAUUUGAUGCUAGAAUAUAAGGGAGUUUCAUAUAAUCGUUAUGAACUUAUAUUCAUAAGUAGUGAAGGUUGCUAGUCACAAUCGUGUUAAGUAGAUUCCUAGCAGGAGUAUCAUGCUCAUCAUAGUUACGAAUGCUUUGUCAAUACUUAUGACUUUCACAGAACUUAAUGAUCUUUGAUUGUAUCUCUAUUAUGCACUUUCAUGUAGGGAACUUUUGAAGAAUGCUUUGGGUUGUCGAAUGAUGUCAUCCAAUCCAAUAACUAAAGGAAAAUAUGAGGGUUAAUUUAAGCGUACCUAAUUAAUCUGGGGUGUUGAGAUUCAUGGUUUAUUGGAAAAGCAACUGGAGAUCGAUUUGUAUGCAAGUGUGUCAUGUGUGGAGAAGAACCCUUUAGCUAGCCAAUUAUCCAUCCAAUUUACCCAAUUUCGUCCAAAAUCUGUCUUAAGUUUUUAGUUACUUGGUUUUACUUUAUUUUCGUCCAAAAUCAAUUCUCCUUUACUUUGUUGAGUUAAAUUAGUUAGAAUCUGUUUUAGUUUGUGUUUUUAAGUGUUUUGAGUCAAGUUUCAAUCAACUUUCGUCCAAGUCAUUCCUAGUGUCUAGUUUGAGUCUAAUUAGUUGUUUUAAGCUAUUUUGAGUCUUUUAAGUUUGUUUGAGUCAUUAGAGUCUAGUUAAGUGUUUUUAGUUUGUUUUUGUGUCUUUGAGUCAGUUUAGAGUGUUUUAGCAAUCCCUCCUAAUCCCUAGUUUAAGAACGAUCCCUACUUACAUAUAUAUUGCCAUUGUUAAAGGAGGGUUUAAUUUGUGUGUUAAGUUAAUUUUCGCAUCAAUAAGGUUAGAUAAGAUAAGAUAAGACUUGAUAAGAUGAGAUGAUUUUGGAUAAGGUUGGAUAAGAUUGUGUAUUUCCUUGUCUUCCAAGCUUCAACUUUGAUUCCUCCAGAUCUUAGCACAUGUUAAACACCAAAAUCUUCCAACCGAUAUGCUCCCUACGCAUGCUAUCCAAUCCAAGUCCAAAACUACUCCAAAUUGCUCCAUUUUGGCUUUUAUUGUCAUCUUUCCUAAUUGGACCUACAAUAAUACGAAAAUAACAUAAAUUACCAAAAUAAAUGGAAAUUAACUAAGAUAAUGCAAAGAAAUAAGAUAACAAAGUCGCAAAAAUACGCUCUUAUCAAAAUAGUUGCAAAAUAAAUUCUUUAUUUCUUUAGAGAAUGGUGAAUUUUAACAGGGGCCUAAUUGAAUCCGAAAUAGAUUGCCUACAUAUCUCUGGGAAUGAGAAUUAGAUCAUUGGUGCAGUUCAAGAAAGAUGAUACAAUGUAAGAAAUUGUCAUUAGGGAUCAUCUUUGAUGAGUAGCCCAUGGUAAGGCUAUCAAAAGAUGGGUUCUCUAGAUGCUUAUGCGGCAUUAAUCUUUUUUGUGGUUAAGUCCGGAUAGGACGGCAUACAUAUCUUCUCACGUCACUGAAAAAUCAAUUUGGGGAUUUGCUUUUCAGUCGAUCAGACUGUUCUUAAGGACAAUCCAUCUUAGGGUUGUCAGCUUCUUCCUUUUUUCCUAGACUUACAAGUUUUUCCUCCAUAAAUGCAAUUGAUGUGGAAGGUAGGCUUCUUUGCCGGCCGUGUUGUUGUCCUUGUCAUCUGUGAGUUCAUACAUGUCGGACUUUUCUUUUUAUUUUCCUUCAGUGAGUUUUU